UACGAAGGGGGCUAGCGUUGCUCGGAAUUACUGGGCGUAAAGCGCACGUAGGCGGCUCUUUAAGUCGGGGGUGAAAGCCCAGGGCUCAACCCUGGAAUAGCCUUCGAUACUGGGUAUCUUGAGUUCGGGAGAGGUGAGUGGAACUCCGAGUGUAGAGGUGAAAUUCGUAGAUAUUCGGAAGAACACCAGUGGCGAAGGCGACUCACUGGCCCGAUACUGACGCUGAGGCGCGAAAGCGUGGGGAGCAAACAGG
rnacentral:rRNA from 1 species